rnacentral:lncRNA from 1 species
CCUACAGCACCCGGCGUGGCCCUCAGCAGCAGCACGGGGGGCUGCGGCAAUGGGGAGAGCCCGCAAUAACGGAGCAGCCCAUAGUAACAGGCAAACGUGAGGAGCCCCUCCGAUAACCAGAGAGCGGGGGGAGACCCCACAGCAACGGGCAGACAUGAGGAAGAAUGCAGUGCGAGGAGGGCACGCAAUAAGGAACGACCGUCACCAGACCCCGUAACGGCAGCUGGACAGUGGGAGACCCUGCGAGGGGAGACCCCGCAGCAAUAGAACAGCAUGGGAGACCCUGCAGUAGCAGGACGGCACCGGGAGACCCCGCAAUAACGGGUGCACAGCAGGGAUCCCCCGCAGAAACAGGAGACCCUACAGGAGCAGAGGAGCGGGAGGCGCCUGCGGUGAGAGCUGUGCGUGGAGGGAUCCCGUGGGAACGCCCCAUUGCCGGGGAGACCCCGCAGCAAGAAACCUGCCAGCAGCAUAGCAGUGUGGGGGGGACCUCCCCGUGACACACAGCCCCGGGAUGAUGCCGUGUGACAAUGCAGCCACUGCCACCAUCAGCCCUCAGCAGCGACAGCGGUGAAACGGCAUCUGCGAGUGUCAGCAAGAGACCCUACAAUAACAGCAGCGACCCUACAAUAACACACGGCCCACGUGGCAGCCGAAACCCUGCAGUAACAGCAGUGACCACAGCAGCCUGCGUAGUGACUGAGGCCUUGUAACAAUAAGCCACAUAGUGCCUGAGACCCUGCAGUGACAGCAGUGACCCCACAAUAACACAGCCCACAUAUGCCUGAGACCCUGCAGUGACAGCAGUGACCCCACAGUAACACAGCCCACAUAGUGCCUGAGACCCUGCGAUAACAACACAGACCCCACAGUAGCACAGCAGUGCAGUAGCAGCCGGAGGCCUGGCUGGGGGCCCCUUCUAGGGGUCUCCUCCAGCCUGACCCCCCCAGCACCCCUCGAGCCGUGGAAGAGGCACGAUCCCAACCUGGGCUGGGGGAGCACCCCUAGGGCCCCGUGCACCAAUAAAGGCUGCAGAGCU